AACAUGCUCAAAGAUGAGAGUUAUGAGCAUGAUGCACUUUUGCAAGCCUUUCCGCAAUAUCUAUCACACUCCACACAGAGAAAACAGCAGUGUCUUUCAGAUGCAUCAUUUUAUGUAAGUCAACAAGGGACUUGGACAACUCCUGAUUCUGCCCCACUGACAGAGAAGCUCCUGCCUUAGCCAUGAGGAUGAUUGGCUGGGUACUUUUAUUCACACAGUUGUACUGCUCCAGGUGCCUGGCACACUGUGGUGAAGAAGACAGAUAGAACUCUAGUUCCACCGGAGCUUAUGUUCGGCCGGCAAUAGAAUGGGUGAGGUUCUGAUGUGUGCUGCCAAGAUUCCAGAUCCCCUGUUCUUCUAGCAUCAUCCCGUUGAUCUCUGAGUCCCUCCUACAUUAACGCCAGUGAUUCUCUCCUGUUUGAGUAAACCCACAGUUUUCCAGAACUUAAAGAAAACCAAAUGCUAUGCAUAAGUAAAUCAAGUAUUGCACCAAUUUGUUUACCAAAUGAAUAAUUUCUCUGCAAAAUUCAAACUUCUGCCUACUGCUUUCUCCCUAAACAAAAUUUUUAAGAAAAGUUACAGCAGAACUGUACAGCAGAA